AUGGCAAACAUAGAUAUUGGUUCAGAUGAAGAUCUGCAUCAGACCAUGAUGAUGAAACCAAAGAGAAAGGGGCUUCAACUCACCAACCUGCCAAAGGACAUUCUCUGCAGCAUCCUGUCACGGUUGCCUAUAAAGGAAGCCGUGCGGACGAGCAUACUGUUGGAACACUGGAAACAUCUUUGGCGCUGCCACUCAAAUCUAGAAUUCAGUCUUAGAUCAAUGUUUCCAGGUCCUCGUACCAAUGGACCCAACGAUGUUAGGCCAUGGAAAGACGUGUUUAUUGAGAGAGUUGAUGCGGUCCUGCAGCAACACUCUGGUGCAGGGGUUGACAACAUUCAGUUCCAGGCUCCAUGUGACGAUGAGCAUGGGGAUCGGAUAGAGGGAUGGGUCAGAUUUGCUACUGCUUCCAAGACGAAGCAACUUAUUCUCGAUUUCUCAGCUACACACCAUAUAGAGCAACAUCCAUAUAAAAUCGAUUUGCGGCUUCUCGAUGACAGUAAAAGCUCACACCUGCAAUCCAUAAAACUCUGUUCCGUUUCUCUAAAGGUGCCUGCGGAUUUCAAGGGUUUUCGGAACCUUAAAUGGAUUUUCCUAGCGGACACGAAUAUUACCGACGGCGACCUUCACCAUUUGGUGUCCAACUGCAGUGGUAUUUUGGAGUUCCUUGGAAUCGCUGGUUGUGGGAUGCUCAGAAGGUUACAUAUAUCUCAUCUUUCAAACAAGCUUAAGCAUUUGCAAGUAUAUGACUGCCGCUUGCUUCAAGCGAUGGAGUUAAACUUUGGUCUGGUAAAGCUCGAGUACAGAGGCCCGUCUGUAUUGUUAUCGCCUCCUGGAAGUUUACUUCUAGCAGAUAUAUGCAUCAAGCUGGAGGGUAUCUGUACUAAUUCUCUAGAGUACAUGUUCACCAAACUUGGUCAUAAUGUGCCUCGUCUCGAGAUUCUGACUCUAAGAUGCCGUGAGGGGAAGAUGGCUACACUGCGAGGAAAACUGCAUGAGUUUGUUCAUUUGAAGCACCUGAGACUGGACUUGACUUUUGGGUGUGCGACAAGGACAACUGAUAUUCUUGAAUUUGCCUGCCUUCUGGUUGCUGCUCCUUUCUUGGAAAAGCUGGAAUUUCACAUGUGGCUGCGCUGCCAGCAUGAACGAUACAGUGUGGGUAAAGGGCAUCUCCGGAGCCUUCCCUCCCAACCACACUCCCAGCUCAGGUCGGUCGACAUCACGGGGUUCUACGGCGAGAAGGACCAACUGGAGCUGGCGCUCCACAUCCUCAGAGACUCCGUCGUGCUGGAAUCGAUGAAGAUAGACCCAGGACCCGCGGCCGCCCCCGCUGGUCUUACCCGACUGGCGCGCACGGAGGCUCCUCAUUUUGUGGACGGCUACGAAGUCGCCCGGGAGUUCCUCCUCAGCAGAGACCGCCGCGAUGUUGUCCAUGUCGCAGAGCCUCUGGCCUGUCGUCUGAGGCCGCUCAUGCUUGGCGCCCGGUGGCGUAUCGAUGCAGCCCAACGUGCGUCUUUCUUUGCAGCUCUGCGCAGAAGAAACGCGGAGAAUGCAGGGUAA
rnacentral:rRNA from 1 species